rnacentral:rRNA from 1 species
GACGAACGCUGGCGGCGUGCUUAACACAUGCAAGUCGAACGGUGAUGGAGAGCUUGCUCUCCGGAUCAGUGGCGAACGGGUGAGUAACACGCGAGCAAUCUGCCCCUCACUCUGGGAUAACUUCGGGAAACCGAUGCUAAUACCGGAUAUGACGCGCGAAGGCAUCUUCUGCGUGUGGAAAGAAUUUCGGUGGGGGAGUGAGCUCGCGGCCUAUCAGCUGUUGGUGAGGUAAUGGCUCACCAAGGCGACGACGGGUAGCCGGCCUGAGAGGGUGACCGGCCACACUGGGACUGAGACACGGCCCAGACUCCUACGGGAGGCAGCAGUGGGAAUAUUGCACAAUGGGCGCAAGCCUGAUGCAGCAACGCCGCGUGAGGGAUGAAGGCC